CAUGAAAUGAAAAUAUAAAAUACAUGAUAUGCAGAAAGGCAAUCAGUGCUUCAGUCCGUUGAGAAGACAGUAAACAGGCAAUAUGACCCAUAAAACUUCAAUUCACUGUUUUUUCUUUUUUUAACAUAGAAUACAUAAAAUUCAAGCAAUGUUGGUUUAUACUCUUGUAAACGUGUUAUAAUAAAAAGGAAAAUAAAGUAAUCUAUACUACAAAAGUUCACUUAAACUAUAUAAGACAAAAUAUCCAUAAACAGGGAAAAAAUAAAAAUCAGUGUUUACUUUGGUCUCUAUUGUGGUUAUUACUAUAAUUAUUGCCAAAAGCAAACAAAAGGUAGUUAACAGCUGCGUGUUAAACCGUUUGUUGCUUACAGUAAUAAUUCAAGAGGUAGCCUGUACUGGUCUAAUAAAGCUGGUGGCUUGCUGCUCAUACUAUACUAUGGAUUCAUCAAGAGCAUUACAUUGCAUGCCAGAGGUUCAGAGGGUUACAUCACUGAGAAGAGAAGCCUAUCUCACCUUUAUUCUUACUUCAUUGGAAAUAAGUUAUUAUGGUGCAAGGAGGUUAUUGGUGCCAGCUUACCGCUCAGAUUUUUCAAAUGGGAAGCAUCUGACUGCCUCUGACAGGGGUGUUGCUGACUGGCUUAGAGCAUCAACAUGCUGCUCUAAGCUAAUCAUUGGCUCCCUAUUAAAAAAAAAAAAAAAAA